AUUGAACGCUGGCGGCAGGCCUAACACAUGCAAGUCGAACGGUAACAGGAAGCAGCUUGCUGCUUUGCUGACGAGUGGCGGACGGGUGAGUAAUGUCUGGGAAACUGCCCGAUGGAGGGGGAUAACUACUGGAAACGGUAGCUAAUACCGCAUAACGUCGCAAGACCAAAGAGGGGGACCUUAGGGCCUCUUGCCAUCGGAUUUGCCCAGAUGGGAUUAGCUAGUAGGUGGGGUAACGGCUCACCUAGGCGACGAUCCCUAGCUGGUCUGAGAGGAUGACGAGCCACACUGGAACUGAGACACGGUCCAGACUCCUACGGGAGGCAGCAGUGGGGAAUAUUGCACAAUGGGCGCAAGCCUGAUGCAGCCAUGCCGCGUGUAUGAAGAAGGCCUUCGGGUUGUAAAGUACUUUCAGCGGGGAGGAAGGGAGUAAAGUUAAUACCUUUGCUCAUUGACGUUACCCGCAGAAGAAGCACCGGCUAACUCCGUG
rnacentral:rRNA from 1 species